UACGAAGGAUCCAAGCGUUAUCCGGAUUCAUUGGGUUUAAAGGGUGCGUAGGCGGACUUGUAAGUCAGCGGUGAAAUCUCUCGGCUCAACCGAGAAACUGCCGUUGAUACUGCGAGUCUUGAGUAUAGAUGAUGUUGGCGGAAUAUGACAUGUAGCGGUGAAAUGCUUAGAUAUGUCAUAGAACACCGAUUGCGAAGGCAGCUGACAAAACUAUA
rnacentral:rRNA from 1 species